CCCUUGACCUGUUACCACAGGGGUCUGCCACACCCACUAGAGCACAGAUUUAAUCCAGUUCAGGCAGGGCAGGCAGCCCACCCUAGGGACCGGCCCUGCCCAACAGCAACCCCUCAGGCUACUUGUCUGCCUGCUUUGACUGGGUGCCUUGAUCCUCCACAGGCAGAUGGGAGGUUCAGGAUUUAAAUUACCAGCUGAGAAGCAGCACUAAAUGUAAUGUGUUCUUAUAAGAGAUGCGCAGAUUUAACUACGGAAGAGGAGAAGGAUAUGGGACCACACUGCUGGCUUUGAAGGUGGAGGAAGAGGCCAAUAAACGAAGGGAUACAAGGAAUGCACAAGCUUGAAAAGGAAGGAAGCAAAUUCUCUUCUGAACAGAAGGAGUGCAGCCCUGCCAACAGUCUGGUUUUAGGCAUCUGACCAGAACUAUAAGAGAAUAAAUUUGCUUUGCUUUAAGCCACUAAAUUUGCGGUAGUUUGUUAUAGAGGCAUUGAUAAAUAAUUCAAGAAGGAUGGUGAAGUCUUGUUGACCUCAGCAGGGAUGGGGACCAGGAUAUGUUUGAAAAAGUCCAUUCUGAAUGGAAGUGAGUGAUGAUGAUUGCUUUAUCUCCCCUAGCUGCAGUUUCUGGCUUAGAAGACCACAAAUAUGAAUGUGUAAAAAUAGCUUUGUAAUAAACUGGUAUUUUUGCUUUUAUCUGAAUAUUGCUCUCUUACGUGGAGCCUUCAAUGUGUUGAUAGUUUGUUUUUCAUUUUUCUUCGUAAGUUAUGGUAACAGACAACAGCAGGCUUGCGGUGUCCAUGUGAAUGAAUUACUUUCAACUCUUAUCUCAUUCAAUUGGUGUUUAUUACAGUGGCUUCCAACCUAUGGCAUGUGUCAGAAGAAUUUAAGUUUGUAAAAGUAUGCGGAUGGAUCUCAACCUGAUGUAACCAAUCAGAACCUCCUUAAGUGUUUAUUUUUACAUUGCUCCACAGAGAUUAUAAAAUGCACAGAAAGUUCAAAACAAUUGAUUUACCAAGUCCCUGCCAUUGACUGAUGUAAUGCGAAACGUUCCCAAAAUAUUGCUUCUUUUGUAACAGAUUUAACACACUUGUGGUUCUAUCUUUGUCAUGAUACCCAUGUGUCUGUGAUGGUAAAUAUAAAUAAAGCCAUGCCAAAAGGCUCAGAAAUUUUCCUUAAAAGUGCAUUAAAUAAUGCCAAAUAUGAGAUUUGUUACUAAAAUGUGGACUAUUUCAGGAAAUUGCCAGUCUGUCUUAGGCUGGAUG
rnacentral:lncRNA from 1 species